rnacentral:lncRNA from 1 species
UGGCUGAAGUCGGGGUCACUCUGCUGUGCUGAAAUGUGGGAGAAGUUCAGACUGCAUAUCUACCCCUGGCCUGAGGAGACAGCAAACUCAAACCGCAAGUACACUUGUUUUGUUUUUGUUGUUGUUUUGUUUUGCAUAGGGUAUCCUGUAGCUCACACUCACCAUACACUAGGUAUGUAACCAAAGGUGACCCUAAACUUCUGAUCCUCCUGCCUCCACCUCCCCAGUGCUGGAAUGACAGGUUUGUGCCACCAUACUGGGUUUCUGUUGUGCUGAGGAAAGCCUUGUGCAUGCUGGGCAGGCACUCUACCAACCAAGCCACAUCCCCAGCCCUGAAAUAGUUUCUAUUGAAUGAAUGUUGCUUAUAUACUGUGGGAGAGGAAAACAAAAUGUCAAAACUUAGUAAGACAGGAUCUGUUUGAACUUUCUUUCCUUUUUUAAGUGGGAUGGAAAAAUGGCUGAGUGGUUCACGUGAUUGCUGCCCAACUGUAAGGAAUGGACUUCAGGACCCCAGAAAUCCAUGGAAAUGCCCCAAAGGUUGGGGUCAGCCUCAGAAGGUGGAGAAGAAGGAUCCCCAGAGCAAGACUAGCCAGCCACACACGCAUGUGCCUGAGCUGUGUCAUCCUGGAUUGCCUAGACUGAUGACAAGUGCCCAUCUGAGAAAAGGAAGUGGAUGGUUUCAGUCUGAAAGGACCACCAUAUGGUCUCAUGCUGAGUGCUCAUUGGAUGAGACACUCCUCCACUACUCCUCUACUCCCACCGUGGUGAUGUCGAGAACAUGAAUGGAACCCUCUGAGUCUGUGAACCAGAAGAGACCCUUCCAGUGGAGAGACGCUUCAGUCAGCAAAGCACUGGCUGUGUGAGCUUGAGGAAGGGCCUGAGUUCU